rnacentral:lncRNA from 1 species
CGCAGAUCAGGAACCUGAAUUGUAUACAUGCUGUCAAGGAACCUUAGUAGUUGUGGUGAGAAAAAUGGAAUUCAAUGUGAUGGAAAAGCAACUAUAGAUGUGUAUGCAGAGCAGCAUUAAGUGUGACAAGGAAGGUGGAAUAACAUGGACUGAAUAUAGAACUGAGGCCGUGGAUCAGUCAUGCCACACAUUUCUCAGAUGGAUACAACUGUACCAAAUUUACUACCAAGACAGUCCAACCAAUUGAUCCUCAGUCUGCCAAACCCAGGCAGUGCAGUGACAAGUGAUCUUUUCCUGGAGGAGCUAAAGUGUUCUGUGUUUAAGGGAUGUGACUGAGAUCACGUGGAUCAUAACUGGAAAAACCUGGAUGUGAA